UACGUAGGGUCCGAGCGUUGUCCGGAAUUAUUGGGCGUAAAGGGCUCGUAGGCGGCCUGUGGAGUCUACUGUGAAAUCCCGCGGCUUAACCUCGGGGGUGCAGCGGAUACGGGCAGGCUAGAGUUUGGUAGGGGAGACUGGAAUUCCUGGUGUAGCGGUGAAAUGCGCAGAGAUCUGGAGGAACACCGGUGGCGAAGGCGGGUCUCUGGGCCGAUACUGACGCUGAGGAGCGAAAGCAUGGGGAGCGAACAGG
rnacentral:misc_RNA from 1 species